rnacentral:rRNA from 1 species
GCAGUGGGUACGGGCAGACUAGAGUGCGGUAGGGGAGAUUGGAAUUCCUGGUGUAGCGGUGGAAUGCGCAGAUAUCAGGAGGAACACCGAUGGCGAAGGCAGAUCUCUGGGCCGAACUGACGCUGAGGAGCGAAAGGGUGGGGAGCAAACAGGCUUAGAUACCCUGGUAGUCCACCCCGUAAACGUUGGGAACUAGUUGUGGGGCCGUGACGCAGCUAACGCAUUAAGUUCCCCGCCUGGGGAGUACGGCCGCAAGGCUAAAACUCAAAGGAAUUGACGGGGACCCGCACAAGCGGCGGAGCAUGCGGAUUAAUUCGAUGCAACGCGAAGAACCUUACCAAGGCUUGACAUACAGGUGGUGCAUGGUUGUCGUCAGCUCGUGUCGUGAGAUGUUGGGUUAAGUCCCGCAACGAGCGCAACCCUCGUUCUAUGUUGCAACUCAUGGGAUACUGCCGGGGUCAACUCGGAGGAAGGUGGGGAUGACGUCAAAUCAUCAUGCCCUAUGUCUUGGGCUUCACGCAUGCUACAAUGGCCGGUACAAAGGGCUGCAAUACCGUGAGGUGGAGCGAAUCCCAAAAAGCCGGUCCCAGUUCGGAUUGAGGUCUGCAACUCGACCUCAUGAAGUCGGAGUCGCUAGUAAUCGCAGAUCAGCACGCUGCGGUGAAUAC